UGAGGAGUGCUCUUUAAAUAACCUUUGUUUGGAUAUUGUAAUACUGAAUACUUUUGAGAACACUGAUGCUUAUUUUGAACCUCAGUCUCCCUCCCAAACCUGUUUAAGAUAUAACUGUAGUAAUAUGUGGCUUCUUAGCAGUUGAAAGUGAGUAGGCAAUGCAGAUAUCCAACAGGUAUGCGCUGAACCCUCUUCCAUCUUUGAUCACUGACAGGGGUAAGCCAUGGUGGCAAGGCUGAUCUACAGGAUCUCAAGUAGCAGGACAGUCCCUGAAAUUUUCUAAUACAGAAUCUACAGUACCAUGGGUCUGGUUCUUCACUCAAUCAUCUUCUUCUGCCACUCACCACCCAAGGCUUGUCACAGAAGUUGUACACCGAAUGCAAAGUGUUGACGCUGGGCACGCCUGCAUACUGCAAGCCAAUAACAAUGCCACGAUGGUCUCCACCACGAGCCAUGCUGAAGGCAUGCUGGCGGAUCAGGACAAAGUCUGGUUUCAGGCUCCUGGAAGGAAAGGUGUGGCUAUGAAAAGGAAGGGGAGCCAGGAAAAAAAUCUCAUGCAUCUGUCCACAAAACCUGCUUCUUAAUCUACGGUUGCCAUUUCAGGUGCCUAAAUCAAAUCCUCCUGCUCCAAAGGUUCACUUCCUUUGAUCUUCCACUGCCAGCGAGAAAGCUAUAGAUCCUCCAUAGAGGUAGAUAAAAUAACAUAUUAAGAUACAAAAUAAAGGGAAUUCACAGCUUUUAAGGAUCCAUGCAAUUUGCAAAAUUGGUUGUAAGCAGCCCAUUAGUCUUGAUUCAAGUUGGUCUCAUUUCCUCAGUCACUGGAGGAAAAUGAAAAGAUUACUCAUUAAAGCCCAAGGCUGCCACAUUCCCAAGCUCAGGGAUAAACAAUAACUAUGUGUUCACAGACGACACUAAUUUCCAGACAGUGCGCUGUUUAUUCUGCCACCACAAUUCAACCUUCAUGGGUGGUCAAGCUCUAGUAGAAAUUUCCCAGCAAUUAUCAGGGCAUGUACACUUAAGGCUUCUUCCAACACUUUCACUGCAGGCUGUUGCAGGCUGGAAGGCCCCAGGCCAUGUCCCAUUCAAGGCUAUGUCAGAAUUGAUGUAACAAAGAUGGAUGUAUCUAUGUGCUGCACCAGUGGAGUUCAGAGAAGGUGAACUGGCACCAACAUUUAGAAACCAAAAACAUCUUAUUCAUCCAGACAUUUUAACAGAUUUACAGAGUAAUUGAUUUAAUUAAGCGUAUUUUGUCUGUUCGAAGGAUUUAUCUACUGAUUUCUUCUUUGGCAUAUUUGCUGACAUCACCAUCAUCCCAAAGUCUGAUAAAAGGGAUGCAAAAAUACUGCAUUGUGUGAAUGUGUGCAUUUGUAUAUUGUGAACUGUUGUGUUAAAGAAAACAAAUCUUGCCGGAAGCUUCUGUGAUAUUUCAAUCACAGGAUUAAAAACUGAGUGUGUUUAAUCAAGAUGGGAAGAUUUAUCCCCACUAUAAUCUCGCUCCAGAUUAAAAGUUAAAUAAAAUCUCCUUUA